rnacentral:rRNA from 1 species
CCUACGGGGCGCAGCAGUGGGGAAUAUUGCACAAUGGGGGAAACCCUGAUGCAGCGACGCCGCGUGAGUGAAGAAGUAAUUCGUUAUGUAAAGCUCUAUCAGCAGGGAGGAAAAUGACGGUACCUGAGUAAGAAGCCCCGGCUAACUACGUGCCAGCAGCCGCGGUAAUACGUAGGGGGAGAGCGUUAUCCGGAUUUACUGGGUGUAAAGGGAGCGUAGACGGCAGUGCAAGUCUGGUGUGAAAGGCGGGGGCUCAACCCCCGGACGGCUCUGGAAACUGUACGGCUGGAGUGCAGGAGAGGGAAGUGGAAUUCCUAGUGUAGCGGUGAAAUGCGUAGAGAUUAGGAGGAACACCAGUGGCGAAGGCGGCUUAUUGGACUGGAUCUGACGUUGAGGCUCGAAAGCGUGGGGAGCAAACAGGAUUAGAUACCCUUGUAGUC